AGCUGUCCCGGGCAGCGCGGCAGGGCUGAGGGGCACCGCUCCGGUUGUGCCGUAUCAGACAAAUCGCGUUCACGUUAAGCCAGACUUACGCUGACAAUUCCUGUUUGUCCAAAUCAUCCUGAUGUGGAAACAGUUUGGCAGUUCCUGAAGCAGCUCCACCACUCAUAUUUUUUCACACAUGGCACUCUAUAGAGGUAGAAGGAGGUCCACAGCAGUAGGUUGAAAUUCCCAUGGCAUCCCAGGCCUUCCUCCUCAGAUGCUCCAACCACCAGCAGCUCCCAUGUGACUGAAGUGAGAAACUUGGAUAUUUAGAAACUGUGGGUGAGAAAACCUGGCCAACAUCCACUAACCCUCCCUCUGGUGUGAAAACACAACAGAACUUUGGACAACAAGGCAAGGUGGCACGUGUUCCACAAAUCCUGCAGCAAAACACUGCUCAGUACAACCUCAAGAUUCACCCUAUAGAGAAAGAAGAUGAAAAAAAGGAUGUUAUACACAGCCCAAAAGAACUCUGGGCAACUUUGCUGAAUGUGUUUAAAGCUACUGAACUUCAAAAUUUUUAUUUCAGAAGUAAAAUGAUAAACAAAAAACAAAGCACUUUUAAUCUUCAAAGUAAUGUACGAUCAAUGACAGCUUCACAGCACUUGAUUGUCAAGUAUCAUAAUCUGUAUUUUAUUCUAGGAGGAAAAGAUGCAUAGAGAAUAAGUGAUCUGCCUGGGUCUAAUGCUGGAACAAGGAUGGAACUCAAACAUCACAAGCCUCCCCUGGAGAAACAUCGGAUACACUGAUGGAGGUACAUCUCAGGAUUAUUUGGCUGUAUCUUCAGCAUAGCACACCAAUUACUUUUCUACACCUCUGAAAUUCAUUUAACCACUUCAAGCAGGUUACCUUAAAGAACUAUCUGCUAGGGCCAACAUAUAAAUAGCUUCAUACUGGCAACACCUUCCUGAUUAAAUUACAUUUGUAGCCAAAACAUCCCACAGGAAAUAACCAGCCUCUGGGUUAGAGCUGUGCUUUCUGGAAGGGAAGUUGACUGGGUAAACUGAACCUUUCAGUACUCUUGGUCUUUCCUCUGCUUCAUCUUUGCCCACCUAAAUCACAAGGGAUAUUUUCAAGAGGAGAAGCAGCACAACAUUAGAUGAUACUGAGUCAAAGAUCAGUUUAAUGAUAACUCUACAACUGCCUGCAGUAAGGGAAGUUUGAAAGAAAAAAAAAAAGCUGAAGUGUUUGCAAAUCAAUUUUAAAAGUUUUGUCUAGAAAUGUACACCUCCCUAAAACUGCAAGGAAAGAUUUCCAUUUAAUUGUACAGUAAACUUAUUGUGAUCUAGGGGAUUGCUGAGAGAUUUCAUUUACAUGCUAAUGCUGCAAGCAGUUUGGGAGAAGGAAAAGAGUUACUUAGCACCAGUAAUGAGCAGGAAAAAAAGAAGGCAGCUAUAGUCCCUGUGGACUGUUUUGUUUUUAAUAACUUUAGACUGUCUAAUAACGCCUUUAAUAAGCUGUUCUCAGCUAUAAAGCUGCAGUCAGCCUUUGUCAGAGAAGAUAAUGCUGCCCCAGACAGGAAAACAAUUCUGAAAUAAUGCACAAAAGACCCCCAUCUAAACAAAAGUUUCUUAAAAAAUAGAAAUGAGAAAGAAUCCAUUAGUUCAAGAGGCAAAUUAUGCAGCCCAUACUGUGUAUUCUUUCACUUCUGAAAGACUAGAUUUCAAAAUGUUAUCUCUUUUAGCAAAAGUAUUCUAAAACUCCCAUUUUCGGGUUUACUUUUCUCCAGGUCCUAAAUUACAGUUAGACAAACUUAUUUACAGUGUACUUAUUCCCUGUAAAUGCCAUCUAAAUUAAGACUGAUCAUGUUAAUUUUCUGUUUAUAGUUCAUGUUACCCAUUUAUUCUCAGUGACAGACAUUAACAUUGCAGUGGGCCAUUGAAAUUUAAGACUUUAUUCAUUCCACUUGGUUUAAUGGCAGCUCUCACUGAGGCUCAGGGGCUUGCAGAAAAGCCUGAGAUACUCACACAGUAAUUCCACUAUAUUAACUACAGGAUUCCUCAGAACAGCAGGCCACCUUCAUCCCCAUAGAUCCCAUCUAUAUCCUUUUCUCUAGCUAGUGGUAGGGUAGAAUAAGAAAGAGAACAAGUAUGAAAUUCAAUUAAGAAACAUCUUGUUGUUUUUCCUGAUAUAAUUAGAUCAGUACCUGAAUGUAUGCCAAGGGUAAAGCAAACUUGAAAUGCAAACUACAAAACCUAAAAAAUCUGAGACUUCCAGUGAGCUCAACUAAUUCAGUACUAACAAGUAUGGAAUGACAAUGUGAAGGUGCUGGUACAGCAAGAAAAAGACAUUUCAUACUGAUUUUACAAAGAAAUAUGAAACAUAGUGUCUCAAAAAAUCAAACACAGAUCUAAAGUCCCAAGUAGUAUUCUCCACAAUCAGAGCUAAAAACAUGACCAGAUUUUAAAUCCUCCUAUGCUCUGAAAUGAUUCAGGAUUCUAACCUCCCUGUGGAAGCAGUGACCUUCUCCUCUGCACCGCAGCACCACCUGAUAAUUAGACAGCUACACUUGCACCAAUUAUGUAAUGAGACCUUUCUCCCUUUUUUUUUUUUUUAAAACUUGUUUCUACUUCGUUGCUAUUCUGUGCUACCUCAGAAAUCCUGGGAAAUAACGGUAGCAUGCAGCUCUAUACCCAGAGCUCAAGUAAGAGGUCAACAGAAAGAGCUUUCUCAUUGCCAUUUCCUAGCAAUGCCCUGUCAUUUCAAUACACGAGGUUAAAUUACUCCAGAAGUCUCCCCACAGGGCUUCCAUUGUUUGUCAAUCACGGCUGGGACACAAUGGUACUCAUUCAUGUGCACAGCAAACAAGUAGACAAGGGCCAACCAUCAGCAUACAGUCUCAUUUUGGUUCUUCUGCAAACAGUUUGUAGAAAGAUGGCGUUUCAAAUAAACCACAUCAAAUUUUAAAAUAUGCAAAUUCCUAGUGUAAAAUAUUUAGUAGGG